AUACCUUUCUCGGCCUUUUGGCUAAGAUCAAGUGUAGUAUCUGUUCUUAUCAGUUUAAUAUCUGAUACAUGGAUCAUUGGUCCACAUGAUAUUAAAUUAAUUUCUCUAGGGAGAAGGUCCACUCCAGUAGCUUGCUAUUGGGGCCUUCAAGUGUCGCCUAGGUGUUGCACUACAACCUAGGCCAGGCAUGCCCCAC